UUAUCUCAUCUCACUGGUCACCACAGCAGCACCCACCCGUAGCACGCGCUCCAGCAGGUAUAUCUCACUGGUCACCCCCAAAGCCAAUUCCUCCUUUGGCCACCUUUCUUUCCAGUUCUUUGCUGCCAAUGACUGGAACGAAUUGCAAAAAUCACUGAAGCUGGAGACUCAAAUCUCCCUCUCCAACUUUAAGCACCAGCUGUCAGAGCAGCUCACAGAUCACUGCACCUGUACACAGCCAAUCUGCAGCCACCUGUUCCUGAGGACAGAUUGAAGACUCUACCAGGGGUACUCCUGAUCCUGGUUGUCUCCAGGUACCCAGGGGGCCCAGUGGAAAGAGCAUCUUACUGGAGACUGGGGUCUGGAGCCAGGGCCAUCUGACCAGUCAGUUUCCUCAGGGUUGACAGUGGCACUUCCUGUCCUGUCAAAAUAAGGUUCCACCUUGUCCUGGAUGGAACUCCCAGAGGGGUGAGUAUGGAGCCACUCCAACCACAACUCCUCUUGUGUUCCACCACCCUCACCACACAGCUCAGGCCUAGGGACAUGGUUUAACACAGCCACCAGAGAUCCCUGGAGUUUCAGGCAGUUGCUCUGGCCUAGUCUCUUCUUGUUCAGCUCUCUAAUGGGGUAGCCAGCCAACAAUUCCAUCCCCUGGGCCCGCAGCUCAGAUAGCGGAACAGGUGACCAGCUCUCAGGCUUCAGAGCUUGCAUUAUAGGGGCCCACAGCACAAGUUAUUAAUGAGGGAGACAGAAGCUCAAACAGCUCCCGUGG
rnacentral:lncRNA from 1 species